AAAACAAAUAAACAUUCUGACUUUUAUUUUUUGUUUAAGAAAACCUAAACGCUUUAUGCUUUCCAUCUUCCUCACUCUCCCUUUACUCUUCAGCCGAAAGGUUAUUGCCCAAGCUCUCCAUUCGCGACCAGCGAAAGUCCUCCUACGAUGACUCCGGUCGUGGAGAUGUGAACGGACGUGGCGACUAACGAACGAGCUGGGGGUCGUGCCUGGUGUGCCACGUGUGUGGUGGAAAGGCGCUGAUGGUCGUGGGUGGAGAACGUGGGCACAUGGUGGCUGAAGGGAGUCAGUUUCUCUCUUUGCUGAAAAAAAUUUGUGGGCUAGGGGUUUUUUAAAAAUUUGGGCUUUUGUUUUAUUUGGAUUUUAAUGUAAUUGGUUUGUAUUUUGGGUUUAUUAUUUGUAAAUGGACAUUUGGGCCGGUUUUUUGGGUUUAUUAUUUGUAAAUGGACAUUUAAUAUUUUGUUUUAUUUUUUGGUUUUUGUACGUGUAUGGGCCCAGGCCAAGAUUAGGUCUUACAAUAUCUUGGCAAUAAUAAAGGUAAUAAGCACAAAGCUAAUUCAAAGGA